rnacentral:rRNA from 1 species
UACGGAGGGUGCAAGCGUUGUUCGGAAUUACUGGGCGUAAAGGGGGUGUAGGCGGCCAAAUAAGUCUGAUGUGAAAUCCCUCGGCUUAACCGAGGAAGUGCAUCAGAAACUGCUUGGCUUGAGUAUGGGAGAGGAAGGCGGAAUUCCCGGUGUAGCGGUGACAUGCGUAGAUAUCGGGAGGAACACCGGUGGCGAAGGCGGCCUUCUGGCCCAAUACUGACGCUGAGACCCGAAAGCGUGGGGAGCAAACAGG